UAUAUUGAAGACUAAACAACGUUUGUCAGGAAAUGAAGCGGGGAGGACCAGAGGGGAUGAGCCGUCAGAAGCCUGCAGUGCCUAGGAGCUGACAACAGAGUAGUCAUGAACCUCAGGUCUGAAGUCAUAGCCAAGGACAACGUGGCCUACCUAGAAAGAUCAGCCCAAAGCAUGUUCCAGGGUUUGACCUCAAGUCACCGGGUUUGUUCUGCAAGUACUUUUACCCACGGAGCCAUCUCUUGAGCCCCACAUUUUAAAACAUGCUGUGGAAAGUGUUGUACUAUAAAAAUUCUCGAUGCAUCUCAGGAUAAGUACAUAACUUUAACUGUUGCACUGUGCAAAUGGAUCGAAUCUGUGACUGAAAAUUAACAGAGAUGUUGAACUUGGUAAAAAUGAGACUUCGCCCUAUGCAUGGACUUGGUGUCACAGCAGUGUAUAAUUCAUGGGGGAAAAAAAGCCAUAAGACAUACUCUAACUCAGUGCAUCCAAACUUAACCUCCAUCCUCCCUCCUGAGCCCACCCCUCCCCCAUUCUUUCCAACCCAGAGACUAACAUCCCAAUGACCUCUCUUGCCCUAGCCAAUGGGACUCUGUCCUGCCUGACUAAAGCAUCUUCUAAUCCAUCUUUUCCUCUUUUUAACCCCAUCUAUCACCAUCCUA